rnacentral:rRNA from 1 species
UACAGAGGUCUCAAGCGUUGUUCGGAAUCAUUGGGCGUAAAGCGCACGUAGGCGGUCUGUUAUGUCGGAUGUGAAAGCCCUUGGCUUAACUGAGGAAGUGCAUCCGAAACUGGCAGGCUAGAGUACUAAAGAGGGUCGCGGAAUUCCCGGUGUAGAGGUGAAAUUCGUAGAUAUCGGGAGGAACACCUGAGGUGAAGACGGGUUGCUGGGCUGACACUGACGCUGAGGUGCGAAAGCGUGGGGAGCAAACAGG